rnacentral:rRNA from 1 species
UACGGAGGGUGCAAGCGUUAUCCGGAUUCACUGGGUUUAAAGGGUGCGUAGGUGGGCAGGUAAGUCAGUGGUGAAAUCUCCGGGCUUAGCUCGGAAACUGCCAUUGAUACUAUCUGUCUUGAAUACCGUGGAGGUCAGCGGAAUAUGUCAUGUAGCGGUGAAAUGCUUAGAUAUGACAUAGAACACCAAUUGCGAAGGCAGCUGGCUACACGAAUAUUGACACUGAUGCACGAAAGCGUGGGGAGCAAACAGG